UACGGAGGGGGCUAGCGUUGUUCGGAAUUACUGGGCGUAAAGCGUACGUAGGCGGCUUUGUAAGUUAGAGGUGAAAGCCCGGGGCUCAACCCCGGAAUUGCCUUUAAGACUGCAUCGCUUGAAUCAUGGAGAGGUGAGUGGAAUUCCGAGUGUAGAGGUGAAAUUCGUAGAUAUUCGGAAGAACACCAGUGGCGAAGGCGACUCACUGGACAUGUAUUGACGCUGAGGUACGAAAGCGUGGGUAGCAAACAGG
rnacentral:rRNA from 1 species